UAAACGAUGCCGACCAGGG
rnacentral:siRNA from 1 species